UGGGGAAUAUUGCGCAAUGGGGGAAACCCUGACGCAGCGACGCCGCGUGCGGGAUGAAGGCCUUCGGGUUGUAAACCGCUUUUGAUUGGGAGCAAGCUUUCGGGUGAGUGUACCUUUCGAAUAAGCGCCGGCUAACUACGUGCCAGCAGCCGCGGUAAUACGUAGGGCGCAAGCGUUAUCCGGAAUUAUUGGGCGUAAAGCGAGCGCAGGCGGUCAAUUAAGUCUGAUGUGAAAGCCCCCGGCUCAACCGGGGAGGGUCAUUGGAAACUGGUUGACUUGAGUGCAGAAGAGGAGAGUGGAAUUCCAUGUGUAGCGGUGAAAUGCGUAGAUAUAUGGAGGAACACCAGUGGCGAAGGCGACUCUCUGGUCUGUAACUGACGCUGAGGCUCGAAAGCGUGGGUAGCAAACAGG
rnacentral:rRNA from 1 species